rnacentral:rRNA from 1 species
UUGGAUUUCUGGGAGGGCGGCGAUGUCCGCUUAACGNGUGUGCAGCGGCGCCCUUCCAUCCUUNUGUUAGCGUCUCUUGGCAUUCAUUUGCUGGNGGCGGGCUCAGAUAUUUUACCUUGAGAAAAUUACAGUGUNUCACGGCAGGCUAGGCCGGAANACAUUAGCAUGGAAUAAUGGAAUAGGACUACGGUCUCUNUGCUGGUUNGAGGGACCUGCAGCAANGANUAAUAGNGAUAGUUGGGGGCAUUAGCAUUUAAUUGNCAGAGGCGAAAUUCUCAGAUUUGUUAAAGACCUAACUNAUGCGNAAGCAUUUGCCAAGGAUGNUUUCAUUNAUCAAGAACGAAAGUUAGGGNANCAAAGACGAUCANAUACCGCCCUANUCUUAACCAUAAACUAUGCCCGACUNGGGAUCGGUGGCGUGNUCUAUCCGCCUUCG